AAGAACGCUGGCGGCAUGCCUAACACAUGCAAGUCGAACGAGAAGCAUCCUUCGGGAUGUGGACAGUGGCGGACGGGUGAGUAACGCGUGGGAACCUGCCCUUGGGUACGGAACAACGCCUGGAAACGGGUGCUAAUACCGUAUGUGCCUUGAGAGGGAAAGAUUUAUCGCCCUUGGAUGGGCCCGCGUUAGAUUAGCUAGUUGGUGAGGUAACGGCUCACCAAGGCGACGAUCUAUAGCUGGUUUGAGAGGAUGAUCAGCCACACUGGGACUGAGACACGGCCCAGACUCCUAUGGGAGGCAGCAGUGGGGAAUAUUGGACAAUGGACGCAAGUCUGAUCCAGCAAUGCCGCGUGUGUGAUGAAGGCCUUAGGGUUGUAAAACACUUUCAUCGAUGAUGAUAAUGACGGUAGUCGAAGAAGAAGCUCCGGCUAACUCCGUGCCAGCAGCCGCGGUAAUACGGAGGGAGCUAGCGUUGUUCGGAAUUACUGGGCGUAAAGCGCCCGCAGGCGGGAUGACAAGUUGGGGGUGAAAGCCCGGGGCUCAACCCCGGAAAUGCCCUCAAAACUGU
rnacentral:rRNA from 1 species